rnacentral:rRNA from 1 species
GACGAACGCUGGCGGCGUGCUUAACACUUGCAAGUCGAACGGAAAGGCCCUGCUUUUGUGGGGUGCUCGAGUGGCGAACGGGUGAGUAACACGUGAGUAACCUGCCCUUGACUUUGGGAUAACUUCAGGAAACUGGGGCUAAUACCGGAUAGGAGCUCCUGCUGCAUGGUGGGGGUUGGAAAGUUUCGGCGGUGGGGGAUGGACUCGCGGCUUAUGAGCUUGUUGGUGGGGUAGUGGCGUACCAGGGCUUUGACGGCUAGCCGGCCUGAGAGGGUGACCGGCGACAAUGGGACUGAGAUACGGCCCAGACGCCUACGGGAGGCAGCAGUGGGGAGUAUUGCACAAUGGGCGGAAGCGUGAUGCAGCAACGCCGCGUGCGGGAUGACGGCCUUCUGGUUGUAAACCGCUUUCGACUGUGACGAAGCGGGAGUGACGGUAAUGGGUAAAGAAGCACCGGCUAACUACGUG